AAGGGAGACCUAAUUCGGGUAGGAGACGAAAAAAAAGUAGUCCCUACCAGGAAUCAAUCCCAAAAGGUCGGAGCGAGGCGAAAUUGGCUUUCAAACUAGGUUCUGGGUUCAAACAAGACCUGAAUCAGGAACAAGGGCUAUUAGCUCAGGUGGUUAGAGCGCACCCCUGAUAAGGGUGAGGUCCCUGGUUCGAGUCCAGGAUGGCCCACCUGCACAGGUGGCAAAAACAAGAGAAGCGAGGAAUCAGCACCUUAUCUUACUGACAUAGUAAGAGAGAAUGCUGGCUCUGAGUAAAGAGUCCAGAGGAACCUUGAAAACUGCAUAGAGCUAGGUGAAAAAGCCAAAAAAGAAGACCGCAA
rnacentral:tRNA from 1 species